AGCGAACGCUGGCGGCAGGCCUAACACAUGCAAGUCGAACGGAUCCUUCGGGAUUAGUGGCGGACGGGUGAGUAACACGUGGGAACGUGCCCUUUGGUUCGGAACAACUCAGGGAAACUUGAGCUAAUACCGGAUGUGCCCUUCGGGGGAAAGAUUUAUCGCCAUUGGAGCGGCCCGCGUCUGAUUAGCUAGUUGGUGAGGUAACGGCCCACCAAGGCGACGAUCAGUAGCUGGUCUGAGAGGAUGAUCAGCCACACUGGGGCUGAGACACGGCCCAGACUCCUACGGGAGGCAGCAGUGGGGAAUCUUGCGCAAUGGGCGAAAGCCUGACGCAGCCAUGCCGCGUGAAUGAUGAAGGUCUUAGGAUUGUAAAAUUCUUUCAGCGGGGACGAUAAUGACGGUACCUGCAGAAGAAGCGCCGGCUAACUUCGUG
rnacentral:rRNA from 1 species